rnacentral:rRNA from 1 species
GUAAAAAAUUUAUAAGAAUAUGAUGUUGGUUCAGAUUAAGCGCUAAAUAAGGACAUGACACAUGCGAAUCAUACGUUUAUUAUUGAUAAGAUAAUAAAUAUGUGGUGUAAACGUGAGUAAUUUUAUUAGGAAUUAAUGAACUAUAGAAUAAGCUAAAUACUUAAUAUAUUAUUAUAUAAAAAUAAUUUAUAUAAUAAAAAGGAUAUAUAUAUAAUAUAUAUUUAUCUAUAGUCAAGCCAAUAAUGGUUUAGGUAGUAGGUUUAUUAAGAGUUAAACCUAGCCAACGAUCCAUAAUCGAUAAUGAAAGUUAGAACGAUCACGUUGACUCUGAAAUAUAGUCAAUAUCUAUAAGAUACAGCAGUGAGGAAUAUUGGACAAUGAUCGAAAGAUUGAUCCAGUUACUUAUUAGGAUGAUAUAUAAAAAUAUUUUAUUUUAUUUAUAAAUAUUAAAUAUUUAUAAUAAUAAUAAUAAUAAUAUAUAUAUAUAAAUUGAUUAAAAAUAAAAUCCAUAAAUAAUUAAAAUAAUGAUAUUAAUUACCAUAUAUAUUUUUAUAUGGAUAUAUAUAUUAAUAAUAAUAUUAAUUUUAUUAUUAUUAAUAAUAUAUUUUAAUAGUCCUGACUAAUAUUUGUGCCAGCAGUCGCGGUAACACAAAGAGGGCGAGCGUUAAUCAUAAUGGUUUAAAGGAUCCGUAGAAUGAAUUAUAUAUUAUAAUUUAGAGUUAAUAAAAUUAAUUAAAGAAUUAUAAUAGUAAAGAUGAAAUAAUAAUAAUAAUUAUAAGACUAAUAUAUGUGAAAAUAUUAAUUAAAUAUUAACUGACAUUGAGGGAUUAAAACUAGAGUAGCGAAACGGAUUCGAUACCCGUGUAGUUCUAGUAGUAAACUAUGAAUACAAUUAUUUAUAAUAUAUAUUAUAUAUAAAUAAUAAAUGAAAAUGAAAGUAUUCCACCUGAAGAGUACGUUAGCAAUAAUGAAACUCAAAACAAUAGACGGUUACAGACUUAAGCAGUGGAGCAUGUUAUUUAAUUCGAUAAUCCACGACUAACCUUACCAUAUUUUGAAUAUUAUAAUAAUUAUUAUAAUUAUUAUAUUACAGGCGUUACAUUGUUGUCUUUAGUUCGUGCUUUAAUUAAUUAAUUAAUUUAUUUAUUGUUUAUAUUUAUUAAUAUUAAUAUAAUAAAAAUGUAAAAUACUUAAUAUUAUUAAUAUUAUUAUAUAUAAUAUAUAUAAUAAUAUAUUAUAUUUAUAUCUCCUUUAUUCCUUUUUCCCCCGAUGGGGACUUAUUAUAUUAUAUUAUUAUAUAUUUCUUCGAUAACUUUAUAUAUAUUUUAUUUUUAUAAAAAAUAUUUAUAUAUUAUUAUUUACAAUAAUAAUUAUUAAUAGUCCUUAUAUUAUAUUAUAUUUAUAAUUAUAUUAUAUAAUUUAUAUACUUUUAUAAUUCUUAUUAUUAUUUAUUUAUUAUUUAUUUAUUAUUAUUUAAAUAUAUUAUUAUUAUAUAUUAAUAAUAUAUAUAUUAUUUUAUAUAUUUUAUUUAAUAUAAAUUAUUUAUAUUUUUAUAUUUUAUUAUGAGGGGGGGGUCCCAAUUAUUAUUUUCAAUAAUAAUUUAUCAUGGGACCCGGAUAUCUUCUUGUUUAUCAUUUAUUAUUCUUAUUAUUUGGUUUUUAUUUAAUAUUAUAAUUUAUUUUAUACAAUUUAUUAUAUUGUUUAUACCUUAUUAUUAUUAUAUAAUUUAUUAUAUUAUUAUAAUAAUUUAAUUAAUUAUAUUAUAAAAUAUUAACUAAUGUGUGCUCUAUAUAUAUUAUUCAUUCUAGUUUCUAAUCUCCUUAUUUAAUUUAUAAUCCUUUAAAAAACUUUUAAUAAAUAUAAUAUAAUAUAAUAUAUAUAUAUAUUUAAUAAAUAAUCUGAUAUUAUAUUUUAUAAUUAAUUUUAUUUAUUUUAUUUAUUAUAUAUAUUAUUAUAUAUAAUUAAAAUUAUAAUUACAAUUAUAACUAUAAUUAAAUUGGAUUAAAUUAAAUUGGGCGCCAAGCCGGUUGUUCACCGACUUGAUCCCAAUAUAAUAUGAUAUAAUAUAAUAUACUAUAUGAUAUAACAUAAAUAUAAUAUAUUAUAUGAUAUAACAUAAAUAUAAUAUACUCCUUCGGGGUCCGCCCCCCGCGGGGCGAACCGGACUAUAUGAAUAUAUUAUUAUUAUUAUAAUUAUAAAAUUAUAUUAAAUAAAUAAAAUUUCUUUAAUAAUUAUUAAUUAAUAUUAUUAAUUUAUUUACAAAUAUUUUAUUAAUUUUUAUUUUUAUUAAAUAUAAAUAUAUAAAUAUAUAUAUUUAUUUAUAAUAUUAUUUAUAUUUAUUAUAUAUUAUUAUUAAAUAUAUUUUUAUUAUAUAUCAUUAAAUAUUAAUAUGUUAUUAUAGUGGUGGGGGGUCCCAAUUAUUAUUUUCAAUAAUAAUUAUUAUUGGGACCCCGGAUAUCUUCUUGUUAAUCAAUUAUUAUAUUAUUUAAUUUAUUUUAUUUCUUAUUUAUAAUUUAUAUUAUAUAAUUUAUUAUAUUGUUAAUACUUUUAUUUAUAUUAUUAAUUAUAUUAUAUUAUUAUAAUAUAUUUAAUUGAUUAUAUUAUAAAAUUAUAACUAAUGUAUGCUUUGUAUUUAUUGAAUAGUUUGGUUCUUAUCACCCACCCCCUCCCCCUAUUACUUAUAUAUUUGGUAAUUAAAAAUAUAAUAUUAAUUAUUAAAUAAAUAAUUAUACUUUCUCCUUUCGGGGUUCCGGCUCCCGUGGCCGGGCACAGGAAUUAAAAUCUUUUCUUGAUUAGCCCUAGUCUACGGUGGUUCAAUUAGAUUAGCACUACCUAUGUUAUAUGCAAUUGCAUUCUUAUUCUUAUUCACAAUGGGUGGUUUAACUGGUGUUGCCUUAGCUAACGCCUCAUUAGAUGUAGCAUUCCACGAUAUUAAUUUAAUAAGUGUCGUGCUUAAAAUUCACUAAAAUAAUAUAUAAUAAAUUAUAAUAAAUAUAUAAAAAAAAUAAAAAAAAUAAAAAAAAUUAAUAUCUUAUGAUUAAUUUUAUAUAAAUAAAAAUUUAUUAAAUAUUAUUGGUUAUAUAUAUAUAUAUAUUAAUAAUAAAAAAAUAUAUAUAUAUAUAUAGCUAACGGGGAAACUCUUAUAAUUAUUAUUUAUAUAAUAAAUAAGACAAUCCCGUGAUAACUUUAAUAUAUAUAUAUUAUAUAUUAAAGUAUUGUAGAGACUAAACGUGAAUGAUUUUAAUAUUAUUUAAAUAUUAAAAUUAAGAGAUAGUCCAAUCUUAUAUGUAAAUAUAAGUUAAUACCAAAAAAAAAAUAAUAUUAUUUUGACUUAUUAUAUAUUAAUAUUAUUAAUAAUAAUUUUAACUAAUAAUAAAGUUUUUAUAGAAACUUUAUAUUAUUAUUUAAUAUUUAAUUUUCAAUUAAUAUCUCCUUUUGGGGUUCCGGUCCCUGGUCCGGCCCCCGAAACUAAAGAUAUUAAGAAUUUAUAUGAAUCAAUUAUAAAUAAUUAUAUUAAUAUUUUAAAUAAAUAUCUUAUUAAUAUUAAUAAAGAUAAUAUUAAUAAAUUAAAAUUUUUAGAUAAUUAUACUGAAGAAGAAAAAGGUUAUUAUUUAUCUGGAUUAUUUGAAGGAGAUGGUAAUAUUUAUACUAGAUGUUUUUCAAUUACUUUUUCUUUAGAAGAUGUUUUAUUAGCUAAUUAUUUAUGUCUUUAUUUUAAAAUUGGUCAUAUUACAGCUAAAUAUAAUUCUCCUCCGGCGUCCGCCCCGCGGGCGGGCCGGACUAAUAAAGAAUUAACAGCUGUUAAAUGAAAUAUUAUAAAAAAAAAAGAACAAGAAGUAUUUAUAAAUUAUAUUAAUGGUAAAUUAUUAACAUAUAAAAGAUAUGACCAAUAUUUUAAAUAUAAUUUUAAUAAUCGUUUAAAUAUUAAAUUAUUAAAACCUAAAGAAUUUGAUUUACUAUUAAAUCCUUGAUUAACAGGUUUUAAUGAUGCUGAUGGUUAUUUUUAUCUAGGUUUUCAAAAACAUAAAAAUAGUCAAUGAUUAAAAUUUCAUUUAGAAUUAUCACAAAAAGAUAAUUAUAUUUUAGUCCGGCCCGCCCCCGCGGGGCGGACCCCAAAGGAGAUAUUAUUAAAAAAUAUUUUAAACUUGGAGGUAUUUUAAAAAGAGAUUAUAAAUCUGGUGCUACAGCUUAUAUUUAUAAAGCUCAAUCAUCAAAAGCUAUAAAACCUUUUAUUGAAUAUUUUAAUAAUUAUCAACCAUUAAGUCUUAGAAGAUAUAAACAAUAUUUAUUAUUAAAUAUUGCUUACUUAUUAAAAUUAAAUAAAUUACAUAUAUUACUUAAUUCUUUAUUAAUAUUAAAAGAAUUAAUAUUAUUACAAAGUGUUAAAAAGACUUAUUUAAUAUAUUUAAUAAUUUUAUUAUACUUAUUUAUAUUUUAUAAUUAAUAUAAAUAUAUUAUUAUUAAUCUUAUUCCUUCUUAAAAAGGGAACUUAUUUUUAUUAUAUUAUUUAAUCUUUAUUUAUAAUAUUAUAUAUUAUAUAUAAAUUAUUAUAUUUAAUGAUUAAAAAAAAAAAACCUCUAAUUAUUAUUAAUGUUAUAUAAAAUAUAUAUAUUCUCAUUAAUGUUAUAUAUAAUAUAUAUAUUCUCAUUAAUAUAUUAAUAUAGUAUAAAAAAAUAUAAAAUAUUUAAUAAUAUUAUUUAUAAUAAUAUUUAUUAAAAAUAAUAUAACAUAAUUAAUAUAAGAUUAUUAUUAUAUAAUAUAUUUAUUAUAUUAUAUAGUUCCGGGGCCCGGCCACGGGAGCCGGAACCCCGGAAGGAGAAAUUAUAAUAUAUUUUUUAAUAAUAUUCAUAUUUAUUUUAUAUACAAAUAAAUAUAUUUAUUUAUAAUAAUUAAAAAAAGAAUAAAUAAAUAUAUUAUUAUUAUACUUUAUUUAUUAUUUAUUAUAAUAAUUAUAUAUAACAAUUAUAAUAUUUAGUUCGUGCUGCAAAGUUUUAGAUUAAGUUCAUAAACGAACAAAACUCCAUAUAUAUAAUUUUAAUUAUAUAUAAUUUUAUAUUAUUUAUUAAUAUAAAGAAAGGAAUUAAGACAAAUCAUAAUGAUCCUUAUAAUAUGGGUAAUAGACGUGCUAUAAUAAAAUGAUAAUAAAAUUAUAUAAAAUAUAUUUAAUUAUAUUUAAUUAAUAAUAUAAAACAUUUUAAUUUUUAAUAUAUUUUUUUAUUAUAUAUUAAUAUGAAUUAUAAUCUGAAAUUCGAUUAUAUGAAAAAAGAAUUGCUAGUAAUACGUAAAUUAGUAUGUUACGGUGAAUAUUCUAACUGUUUCGCACUAAUCACUCAUCACGCGUUGAAACAUAUUAUUAUCUUAUUAUUUAUAUAAUAUUUUUUAAUAAAUAUUAAUAAUUAUUAAUUUAUAUUUAUUUAUAUCAGAAAUAAUAUGAAUUAAUGCGAAGUUGAAAUACAGUUACCGUAGGGGAACCUGCGGUGGGCUUAUAAAUAUCUUAAAUAUUCUUACA